rnacentral:rRNA from 1 species
AAGAUGGCGACCGGCGCACGGGUGAGUAACACGUAUCCAACCUGCCCUUUACUCGGGGAUAGCCUUUCGAAAGAAAGAUUAAUACCCGAUAGCAUAAUGAUUCCGCAUGGUUUCAUUAUUAAAGGAUUCCGGUAAAGGAUGGGGAUGCGUUCCAUUAGGUUGUUGGUGAGGUAACGGCUCACCUAGUCUUCGAUGGAUAGGGGUUCUGAGAGGAAGGUCCCCCACAUUGGAACUGAGACACGGUCCAA